AUGGCCAGUCUUGUCCUGCCUGAAUCUUCCAGUGGCAAUUGGCUCCUCUGCUGUGUGGCCCUCUGCCUUCUGGGGGCAGGUUCCGUAGCUGCUGGAGUCACCCAGUUCCCAAGACACAUAAUCAAAGUCCAAGGGGGGGAGGCUGUUCUGAAGUGUCAUCCCAUCACCGGACAUAAUACGGUGUAUUGGUACCAGCAGGCUUUGAGCCAGAGCCCCGAGUUCCUCAUUAGUUUUUAUGAAAAGCAGGAGGAACAGAAAGGAAACAUCCCAGAUCGGUUCUCAGGAAAACAGUUCAAUAACUACAGCUCUGAGCUGGCCAUGAGCACCUUGCAGCUGGGAGACUCAGCUGUGUAUCUCUGUGCCAGCAGCUUAGACACAGCCCUGCAGGGUCAAUGGCUUUCUGUAUUCAAACCUCCCUGCCCCAGCUGA